AACGAACGCUGGCGGCAUGCCUAACACAUGCAAGUCGAACGAACCCUUCGGGGUUAGUGGCGCACGGGUGCGUAACGCGUGGGAAUCUGCCCUUUGCUUCGGAAUAACAGUUAGAAAUGACUGCUAAUACCGGAUGAUGUCUUCGGACCAAAGAUUUAUCGGCAAAGGAUGAGCCCGCGUAGGAUUAGGUAGUUGGUGGGGUAAAGGCCUACCAAGCCGACGAUCCUUAGCUGGUCUGAGAGGAUGAUCAGCCACACUGGGACUGAGACACGGCCCAGACUCCUACGGGAGGCAGCAGUGGGGAAUAUUGGACAAUGGACGCAAGUCUGAUCCAGCAAUGCCGCGUGAGUGAUGAAGGCCUUAGGGUUGUAAAGCUCUUUUACCAGGGAUGAUAAUGACAGUACCUGGAGAAUAAGCUCCGGCUAACUCCGUGCCAGCCGCCGCCGUAACAC
rnacentral:rRNA from 1 species